rnacentral:rRNA from 1 species
AACGGGUCUUAGCUUGCUAAGAUUGUCAGCUAAGUGGCGCACGGGUGAGUAAUAUAUAGUUAACCUGCCCUAGAGAGAGGGAUAACGUUUGGAAACGGACGCUAAUACCUCAUAUGCCUUUAAUACAUAAGUAUGCAAGGGAAACAUUUAUGGCUCUAGGAUGGGACUGUACGGUAUCAGUUAGUUGGUGAGGUAAUGGCUCACCAAGACAAUGACACCUAACUGGUUUGAGAGGAUGAUCAGUCACACUGGAACUGAGACACGGUCCAGACUCCUACGGGAGGCAGCAGUGGGGAAUAUUGCACAAUGGACGAAAGUCUGAUGCAGCAACGCCGCGUGGAGGAUGACACAUUUCGGUGCGUAAACUCCUUUUAUAUAGGAAGAUAAUGACGGUACUAUAUGAAUAAGCACCGGCUAACUCCGUGCCAGCAGCCGCGGUAAUACGGAGGGUGCAAGCGUUACUCGGAAUCACUGGGCGUUAAGAGCGUGUAGGCGGAUAGGUAAGUCAGAAGUGAAAUCCAAUAGCUCAACUAUUGAACUGCUUUUUGAAACUGCUUGUCUA